AACUGGCAACAUGGGACCCAGAGGUGAGCCAGUGCUUGGGGAGAGUCUGCCUGAGAAUGAAACUGGCCCGGAGGAAAGCACAUGACAUGGGAGAAGAUUACAAAGGACGUUGUUUGGGCACCCAUGGCCUCUAGGUGGCUCUGAUUUAUUUGUGGAUGCUAUCUAUGUUGGAGUUUAACAUUGAAGCAGGAAGUGCAGAGAGAUAGAACAGGAAUUUAGGCCCGGCCCAGAAGUGUCUGCUUGUCACUCAAGAACCAUUCAAAUGUCACUUCCAUCAGAAAGUUCAUAACGCUGUCCAACGGAUUAUCUUGGCCCUUGGAUACAGAUCGUGUUGUUGGGAACCACUGGUUUACCUACUCCUAUGUUGGAUUAUGUAUUCUGCAAAGAAGCUAUCAUAUCUCAUGUCUCUUUGCAUCCCAUCUCCAGUAUGAGUGUGGUUCAUAUAAAGUAUUUGACAAACGUUUGUUGAAACAAUGCAUGAAUAAAUGGUUUCAGGCCACU